GUCCGCACAAGGAAACAAGUUCCAAGUACCACUGUGACUGUGUUCUUGCAUAGUUAUAUGUGAGUGUCUGAGAGAGAGAGACAGACAGAGAGGUUGAGAGAGAUAGAGACAGGCAGAGAGACAUUGAGAGACACACAGAGAGAGAGAUUCAGAGAGAGAAAGGGGGGUAAUGAAAUGCCAGUUGGGCGGCAGCAGCAAAUCCUCAGUCAAGAUUCAGAGGAAUCAAUUUAUUUCUUUUCCUUUGAUCUUGCAACUUCUAUCCCCCCCCCCCCACCCCACCAACCCAACAGUUAAUUGUUAGAAUGGCAAUCAAAAUUGAAGACUUGCAUUUCAGUGAGUUUGCUUAAUUGGAGAGAAAUGACCGAAAGAAGGGGAUUGGUGGAAGCUAGUCUUGCAUCAGAGUUUGUCCAAUGCUGUGUUUUGAAGUAAUCCAAAAACCCACCCACUCCUUCGUGGUCAGGUUCUCAGUCUUGUUCUCUCUCUACCCAUUUCUCUUGGACCUUGCCCUCUUUGAUGCACUACUCCUAUUAUUUUAAUUUUAUGUUUGUGUAUAAAAUAUUGAUUCUGUGCAUAUCAGUCCUACCAUGCAUUGUCAUGUGAGUUGUGACUAUGCUGUGUAAUGUUAUUGCGAGGAAGAUUAUACGCUAUCCUCUUUCCUAUUUAUGUUUUGGUGAAAUUAUUGUACUCAAGUAACUUUAUUCAAGGUAGGAAGGAAUUAAAUUUCUAGGAUUGGAGGUUGUUAGGGAAAUUUGAGGGAGAUAAGUGGCGAUGAGAGUGGACAAGAUGAUCAAUUGUUGAUGACAUGAUCAAAUUUGUGAACAUGUCAUUUUCAUGUGAAGACACGACAAUUGUCAAAAUCAUUUGAGCUAAAUAAGUUAAUGGAUAUGUUAUUGGAUGUUAAUUAAGUGGUCUAGUAUUUUGUUGAAUUCCAUUUCAUCCAAUUCAGUGUUAAUGGAUAUUGUGAUUAUAAUACCAUUACUUUUUGUUAUUGUGAUUAUAAUACCAUUACUUUUUGUGAAUGUGAAUAUGUGAUUGUUAUGCUGCUCCAUUCGUGAGAGUGAGUGUGUGUGUGUGUGAGAGGGGGUAAUGAAAGGCCAGUUGGGCCGCAAUAGCAAUUUCUUAGUAAAGAUUCAGGACAACUUUUUUCCACUUAAUCUUGAACAACUUGUUGCUUCAAUUUAUGUUAAUGGGGUUCACAUACUGAGUUUGCUUAACAUGGUAAUUUGCUAUUGGUUCAUCCCAUCUCUCCUACAUAUUUUUCCUGUAAAAUUUUGAUUUUUAUAUGUGUGUGUUAAUUGUUUUACGGAGAGGAAUCUCUGAAAGAAGGGGAUUGGUGGAAGCAAGUCUUGCCCUCUAAGUUUGGUCAAUGCUGUGUUUUGAUGUUAUCCAGAGCUCCCCCCUUCUUAAUCAGGAUGGACAUUGGAGAGAUUGAAGAAAUGAUUAACGAAGCAAUGGAUGGAGAAUGGCUGGGAUGAGAAGGAAUGAUUAUUAUUACCAUAAUAAUCGAAGUGAAAGGCCUCUCUUUGCUGUUUGAGACUUCAGCCUCUGUUAAAAAGGCUUGCUACUCUGUUCGAGUUAGACCCGUUGUAAAAAAAAUAAAUCAAAAGUUGAAGUCCCUCUUUGUUAUGAGUUUGAGUUUUAAAUUCCAAAUGUUGUGUAAUGUUCUACUUAAAUUUGUCAACAUGUUUUAGUUUAUGAUUUUACUUAGUGUAGUCAGACAAUGGUUUACCAUAAAUUUUGUUUAAUGUAAUACCAGUUACAAGUUUA